rnacentral:hammerhead_ribozyme from 1 species
AUCCAGCUGACAAGUCUCAAAUAGGAUGAAACGAGUGUUCUGGAU